rnacentral:rRNA from 1 species
CAAAAACAUCGCCUCCCGCAAAGAUCAAAGUAUAGGAGGUCCUACCUGCCCAGUGAUUAAAUUUAAACGGCCGCGGUAUUUUGACCGUGCUAAGGUAGCGCAAUCACUUGUCUUUUAAAUGAAGACCUGUAUGAAUGGUGAAACGAGGGCUUAACUGUCUCCCUUCUCAGGUCAGUGAAAUUGAUCUGCCCGUGCAGAAGCGGACAUACAAAUACAAGACGAGAAGACCCUUUGGAGCUUAAGACAUAAGAUCAAUUGUGUCAAUAAACCCUAAAGAACCAAACAAAACAAUCUGAUCAGCGUCUUCGGUUGGGGCGACCACGGGGGAAAACAAAGCCCCCACGUAGAACGGGACAACCCCUAAAACUAAGAGGGACACCUCUAAGCCACAGAACCUCUGACUUAAAAGAUCCGGCACACGCCGAUUAACGAACCAAGUUACCCUAGGGAUAACAGCGCAAUCCCCUCCAAGAGUCCAUAUCGACAAGGGGGUUUACGACCUCGAUGUUGGAUCAGGACAUCCUAAUGGUGCAGCCGCUAUUAAGGGUUCGUUUGUUCAACGAUUAAAGUCCUACGUGAUCUGAG